rnacentral:rRNA from 1 species
GCAUAUCAAUAAGCGGAGGAAAAGAAACCAACAGGGAUUGCCUCAGUAACGGCGAGUGAAGCGGCAACAGCUCAAAUUUGAAAUCUGGCCCUAGGCCCGAGUUGUAAUUUGCAGAGGAUGUUUCUGGCGAGGUGCCUUCCGAGUUCCCUGGAACGGGACGCCAUAGAGGGUGAGAGCCCCGUACGGUUGGUCGCUAAGCCUCUGUGAAACUCCUUCGACGAGUCGAGUAGUUUGGGAAUGCUGCUCUAAAUGGGAGGUAUACGUCUUCUAAAGCUAAAUACCGGCCAGAGACCGAUAGCGCACAAGUAGAGUGAUCGAAAGAUGAAAAGCACUUUGAAAAGAGGGUUAAAUAGUACGUGAAAUUGUUGAAAGGGAAGCGCUUAUGACCAGACUUGGACCGGUUGAUCAUCCAUCGUUCUCGGUGGUGCACUCUGCCGGUUCAGGCCAGCAUCAGUUCGUCCCGGGGGAUAAAGGCUUUGGGAAUGUGGCUCUUCGGAGUGUUAUAGCCCAUUGCGUAAUACCCUGGGAUGGACUGAGGUUCGCGCUCCGCAAGGAUGCUGGCGUAAUGGUCAUCAGUGACCCGUCUUGAAACACGGACCAAGGAGUCGUCUUCGUAUGCGAGUGUUCGGGUGUCAAACCCCUACGCGUAAUGAAAGUGAACGUAGGAGAGAGCUUCGGCGCAUCUCCGACCGAUCCUGAUGUUCUCGGAUGGAUUUGAGUAAGAGCAUACGGGGCCGGACCCGAAAGAAGGUGAACUAUGCUUGUAUAGGGUGAAGCCAGAGGAAACUCUGGUGGAGGCUCGCAGCGGUUCUGACGUGCAAAUCGAUCGUCAAAUAUGAGCAUGGGGGGCGAAAGACUAAUCGAACCUUCUAGUAGCUGGUUUCCGCCGAA